rnacentral:rRNA from 1 species
UACAGAGGGUGCGAACGUUGCUCGGAAUUACUGGGCGUAAAGCGCGUGUAGGCGGGUCGGCAAGUCAGGCGUGAAAUCCCGAGGCUCAACCUCGGAACUGCACUCGAAACUGCCUGGCUUGAGUCCCGGAGAGGGUGGCGGAAUUCCCGGUGUAGGGGUGAAAUCCGUAGAUAUCGGGAGGAACACCAGUGGCGAAGGCGGCCACCUGGACGGUGACUGACGCUGAGACGCGAAAGCGUGGGGAGCAAACAGG